GCCCGGUCUCCCCCUGCCCCAAUCCCGACUCCAGGCCGUCGUCCCCAACACACCAUGAGAACGAAGAUGGCGGUGGCGCUGGUCCUGGCCUCCCGGGGGAUCGUACCUCCUAGGCCUGCCCGAUCCUCCUACUUCUCCUCGCGCUGCUCCUCGCUGUCCCCGCUCGCGGCCACCUCCAACGCCUCCUCCCACGCCUACGCCUUCGCGGGCCGUGAGCCGGUGCCCGCCCCGGAUCCCACCUUCUUCGACGAUGUCGUCGACGCCAUCGUCGACAAGUACGGCUGGGACCCCGACGCCAAGGUCCAGGUCUGGCCGCUCGACGCCGAGGGCGCGCUCGUCGACGCCGUGCAGCGCUACGAGUUCCCCGCCCGCGUGGGGCCCCGCUGUCGCGCUGGCGCGGGCCUCCGACGGGGCCGUCUACUGGAGCCGCCCCGACGCCCCCGCGGUGGAGGAGGUGGUCGGGCCCCACGGGGUCGACUUCGUCACCGGCGAUGGCGACCUGGCGUUCGGCUCCGGCGUCAGGGUCCCUGAGAUGGUAGGGCCGUUCGAGCUGGUGGUCUCCGAUGGCGCUGGCAGGGGCCGCGCAGAGCUCCAGUUGCCGUCGUUCUGCAAGCUGCGGCACACAUGGUCUGCCUCCAUGUCGUCCUACCUGCUUCAGGGCCCUCUACUUCUUCCCCCAAGAUUGCCAUUAUGAUUAACAAAUCUGACGAGAGCAAUUUAAUUGGUGACACAUCAUAUUUAUUCUGCAACUGCAUGUGAAUUCUCAUCUUGCGCCUACCUCUUUUGCUUACCAGUGAAGAUGGAGAGCUUUAGGCAAAAAAAGAAAGAAAAAAAACUAGCACGUGAUCUAUGGAGAAUAAUUUUGACAGCAACUCCAACUAUGCAAUGGAGUACACUUGAUGCGAUCAAUUCUGGUGUGUGUGUGUGUGAUGCAAUGACGUAUGAAUAAUGACAGAAAAAUAUGCCUGAGGAGUAUGGUCGGACUCCAGCGAGCAGCAGUGGUUGUUAUACCCCACCAGGUAACUUGCUACUGUUGGUGAAACUCUCUUGUGCAGAAACGCCGAUCUUGAAAUCUUGAUCCUACUUAUUAGCCGUAUUGCGAGCAAUGUACUCAUGUUUUACUGAACAUGUAGGUAACAUGAAAUUUUGAUCUUCUCUCAUCACUGAAAGUUGUGUUUUAAACUUGCAAAAGCAUUGCUAAGCCUAUUCAAUCAUUUCUAUUUUACCCUAGAUUUCACUCCAUACCAUAAUUGAGAUACAAAUGGGCGUUACUGAUGUCGAGGAGAAGAUUUGGAAGCUCUUGGAUUGAGAAUCUGAGAUUUAUAUAGGUUUAGUAGAACAAAAAGUUUUGGAUUCACUACUCCAGAUACAACGAUGCGGUAUAUAUAGUUAACUUCGUACUUUAUAUUACCAAUUUUUCUUCCUCCAAGAGUUCUCCGGAUAUAAUCUACACCUGAAACAAGUAACAUUAAUAAAUUGUUAAAAGCAAGGAAAAGUAACAAGUUCUGCAAAUUAGUUUCAUCAGGAGAGAACUGGCUGAAAUGAAGCUAAUACUGAUGUACUGAAUAUCCUGCAGUGGUUAGUAUACUAAUAAAGAGUAAAACCGCAUGUUUUGUCAUAUCUGAAACCCUUUUCUGCUCCAUACUUUACGUAAACAAUGCAUGUGCAUUGGCAUCAGAACCAUAGAUUGAAAAAUCAUCAUCCAUUGGCAUUCGUCACCCUGGCAAUGAAAUAACCUGCAUUUGUUAUUCAGAAGACUUCUUGUCCGGUUUAGUGUGUGAUUUGUUACUAUGAUAAGGAAACAUUUCCUCAACCCAUCUUUCACUACACACACAGGUUGCACAGAGGAGUAUAAGGAUUUCUUCAUCGGGCCAGUCCACGUGGAAGACGUCGCAUUAGCCCAUAUCACGCUGUUUGAAAACCCGGCUGCAUCCGGGAGUCACCUCUGUGUGGAGCCCAUAUGUCGCUUGAGCGAUUUCGCGUCCCAAGUCACGGAGCUCUACCCCGACUACGAAGUCCCGAAAUUACCUGAGGACACGCAGCCUGCGCUGGUGAGAGCGGAGGCGGUGCCGAAGAAGCUGAUGGCACUGGGCCUGCAUUUCACUCCUUUGGAAAAGAUCAUCAAGGAUGCGGUGGAGAGCCUUCGGAGAAGAGGAUGCAUCGCCUGAUGGCUGGAUUAUUAGCUGUACCAUAUUCCUUCCCUUCUGUUGUAGGGUCAUGAUCAACCCUUGCUCCAGAGAUGUGUUGUGCCCAGCCCAGUGCUAGACCUUAUAGUUGCCUGUAUGAUUGUGCAAUAACGGCUGGUUGAUCUACUGGUACACCUGUCUGUUCUUGCUAGAUUCUUCCAAGAAGUCCUUGGGUGUUGCAAGGAAGAUCACCGAUGAAUAAUUGUCCAGGAUAAGAGAAGAAGACAGUACUCUCGAAAUAGAACCAAUAAUCUAUUCACAAAA